CGACCGGCGCACGGGUGCGUAACGCGUAUGCAACCUACCUUUAACAGGGGGAUAACACUGAGAAAUUGGUACUAAUACCCCAUAAUAUCAUAGAAGGCAUCUUUUAUGGUUGAAAAUUCCGAUGGUUAGAGAUGGGCAUGCGUUGUAUUAGCUAGUUGGUGGGGUAGCGGCUCACCAAGGCGACGAUACAUAGGGGGACUGAGAGGUUAACCCCCCACACUGGUACUGAGACACGGACCAG
rnacentral:rRNA from 1 species